AGCGAACGCUGGCGGCAGGCCUAACACAUGCAAGUCGAACGAACUCUUCGGAGUUAGUGGCGGACGGGUGAGUAACGCGUGGGAACGUGCCCUUAGGUUCGGAAUAACUCAGGGAAACGUGUGCUAAUACCGAAUGUGCUCUUCGGGGGAAAGAUUUAUCGCCUUUAGAUGGGCCCGCGUUGGAUUAGCUAGUUGGUGGGGUAAAGGCUUACCAAGGCGACGAUCAGUAGCUGGUCUGAGAGGAUGAUCAGCCACAUUGGGACUGAGACACGGCCCAAACUCCUACGGGAGGCAGCAGUGGGGAAUAUUGCGCAAUGGGCGAAAGCCUGACGCAGCCAUGCCGCGUGAAUGAUGAAGGUCUUAGGAUUGUAAAAUUCUUUCACCGGGGACGAUAAUGACGGUACCCGGAGAAGAAGCCCCGGCUAACUUCGUG
rnacentral:rRNA from 1 species